rnacentral:tRNA from 1 species
GCGGCCGUGGCAGAGCUGGUAAUGCGCUGGGUUGUGGACCCGGUCUUCGAGGGUUCGAGUCCCUCCGGUCGCCCGA